rnacentral:ncRNA from 1 species
CAGAGUAGGAAUCUGUGCGUAAAGUGUUCCGCGAACGGGGAGUUGUCGCGGAGACGAAGGGGAGACCCGCGAUACGGAUUCCGCAUCCCGCUG